rnacentral:rRNA from 1 species
CGGGCUUGAAUUGCAGAGGAAGGAUUUAGAGAUAAUGACGCCCUUCGGGGUCUCUGUGAAGGUGCUGCAUGGUUGUCGUCAGCUCGUGCCGUGAGGUGUCGGCUUAAGUGCCAUAACGAGCGCAACCCCUCUCUUCAGUUGCCAUCAGGUUAAGCUGGGCACUCUGGAGACACUGCCACCGUAAGGUGUGAGGAAGGUGGGGAUGACGUCAAAUCAGCACGGCCCUUACGUCCGGGGCUACACACGUGUUACAAUGGCCGGUACAGAGGGAUGGUGUAAUGCAAAUUGCAUCAAAUCUUGAAAGCCGGUCCCAGUUCGGACUGGGGUCUGCAACCCGACCCCACGAAGCUGGAUUCGCUAGUAAUCGCGCAUCAGCCAUGGCGCGGUGAAUACGUUCCCGGGCC